GAGUUUGAUCAUGGCUCAGGAUGAACGCUGGCGGCGUGCCUAAUACAUGCAAGUCGAGCGAACGGACGAGAAGCUUGCUUCUCUGAUGUUAGCGGCGGACGGGUGAGUAACACGUGGAUAACCUACCUAUAAGACUGGGAUAACUUCGGGAAACCGGAGCUAAUACCGGAUAAUAUUUUGAACCGCAUGGUUCAAAAGUGAAAGACGGUCUUGCUGUCACUUAUAGAUGGAUCCGCGCUGCAUUAGCUAGUUGGUAAGGUAACGGCUUACCAAGGCAACGAUGCAUAGCCGACCUGAGAGGGUGAUCGGCCACACUGGAACUGAGACACGGUCCAGACUCCUACGGGAGGCAGCAGUAGGGAAUCUUCCGCAAUGGGCG
rnacentral:rRNA from 1 species